AUUGAACGCUGGCGGCAGGCCUAACACAUGCAAGUCGAGCGGAUGAAGGGAGCUUGCUCCUGGAUUCAGCGGCGGACGGGUGAGUAAUGCCUAGGAAUCUGCCUGGUAGUGGGGGAUAACGUCCGGAAACGGGCGCUAAUACCGCAUACGUCCUGAGGGAGAAAGUGGGGGAUCUUCGGACCUCAGGCUAUCAGAUGAGCCUAGGUCGGAUUAGCUAGUUGGUGGGGUAAAGGCCUACCAAGGCGACGAUCCGUAACUGGUCUGAGAGGAUGAUCAGUCACACUGGAACUGAGACACGGUCCAGACUCCUACGGGAGGCAGCAGUGGGGAAUAUUGGACAAUGGGCGAAAGCCUGAUCCAACCAUGCCGCGUGUGUGAAGAAGGUCUUCGGAUUGUAAAGCACUUUAAGUUGGGAGGAAGGGCAGUAAGUUAAUACCUUGCUGUUUUGACGUUACCAACAGAAUAAGCACCGGCUAACUUCGUG
rnacentral:rRNA from 1 species